UGGGGAAUAUUGGACAAUGGGCGCAAGCCUGAUCCAGCAAUGCCGCGUGUGUGAAGAAGGCCUUCGGGUUGUAAAGCACUUUUAUCAGGAGCGAAACGCUGUCGGCUAAUACCCGGCGGAACUGACGGUACCUGAGGAAUAAGCACCGGCUAACUUCGUGCCAGCAGCCGCGGUAAUACGAAGGGUGCAAGCGUUAAUCGGAAUUACUGGGCGUAAAGCGUGCGUAGGCGGUUUCUUAAGUCUGCUGUGAAAUCCCCGGGCUCAACCUGGGAAUGGCAGUGGAUACUGGGAGGCUAGAGUGUGUCAGAGGGUGGUGGAAUUCCCGGUGUAGCGGUGAAAUGCGUAGAGAUCGGGAGGAACAUCAGUGGCGAAGGCGGCCACCUGGGACAACACUGACGCUGAGGCACGAAAGCGUGGGGAGCAAACAGGAUUAGAUACCCUGGUAGUCCACGCCCUAAAAGCGAUGCGAAUUGGAUGUUGGUCUCAACUCGGAGAUCAGUGUCGAAGCUAACGCGUUAAGUUCGCCGCCUGGGGAGUACGGUCGCAAGACU
rnacentral:rRNA from 1 species